GAUGAACGCUGGCGGCGUGCCUAACACAUGCAAGUCGAGCGAACAGAUAAGGAGCUUGCUCCUUUGAAGUUAGCGGCGGACGGGUGAGUAACACGUGGGUAACCUACCUAUAAGACUGGGAUAACUUCCGGAAACCGGAGCUAAUACCGGAUAACAUUUAGAACCGCAUGGUUCUAAAGUUAAAGCUGGUUUUGCUAUCACUUAUAGAUGGACCCGCGCCGUAUUAGCUAGUUGGUAAGGUAACGGCUUACCAAGGCGACGAUACGUAGCCGACCUGAGAGGGUGAUCGGCCACACUGGAACUGAGACACGGUCCAGACUCCUACGGGAGGCAGCAGUAGGGAAUCUUCCGCAAUGGGCGAAAGCCUGACGGAGCAACGCCGCGUGAGUGAUGAAGGGUUUCGGCUCGUAAAACUCUGUUAUUAGGGAAGAACAAAUGUGUAAGUAACUGUGCACAUCUUGACGGUACCUAAUCAGAAAGCCACGGCUAACUACGUG
rnacentral:rRNA from 1 species